rnacentral:misc_RNA from 1 species
UAAAAAAAAAAAAAAAAAAAGGAGGGAAGUCUCAGUCUGCCAAAUCAAUCGGUUCCAGUUCAACAUGCACAACCACCUCUUUGCUCGCUUUCGGAAACAGCCUCAGGGAUGCCUUGGAAGUAUCUGCAACAUAUCAAUAAGACAAUAAGGCUCAAAAAGGUUGUAUGCUGUCAUAAUAAACAAACAAAAUGGUCAACCAUCCCAAGCAGGUUCUUCAUAUUAAUAACAAAGAACUAAAAAAAAAAUGCUUGAAAGCAUGCAUCUAACAAAUACUCACAUUUUGAAUUGAAGAUACUGAGUUCUAAAGGAUAGUAAAUUCCUCAUUCAUUCCAGGACUUCAAAUUGUAAAAUGACCAAAAAACAAUAUCAUUUGAAGAAAGGAUAUCUGAAGUUAUUUGAAAACAGCAUGCCACUUAAACCUAGGAAGAAGUAAUGAAGAAAGCCACCUUUUUGACAAUUUUUCUAAGAUAAAUAAAUCACCGUAAACAGCAGCAUUGACAUGCUUAACGAGACACAAACAGCAAUAAAAAAAUUUUAUGAUAGGGCUACUUGUCCGCUUAAUCAGGGAAAUUAUUUGUUACUGCAUGCACCAAUAUGAAACUGAUUUCAAUUAAUACAAAAAUGCCUUUUCAUAUUCUACCAAAUUAUUGUUCAUCAGAAAGGGCUAAUUUUCUAUGAUGUUAACAUCUAUUUUAUUUAGAAAAAGACCUCAUGAAAUAGAAAUCAGGAAGUCAACAGAGUGUGCUCAAUUACAAAAUUUAUGUAAUUAGCAGUUCAUCCAACCUAUCACAUCCUUUCAACCUUAGCCAUACCACAGUUAGUAAAAUGGGGUGGAAGAAAGAAAACCACACCAAUUUUCACUCACUCCAUGUCCAGUUAACUUCAUUGGUACCCUACCAAUCCUAAAAGAGACUGUUAUCCAGUUAUGGUCCUUCUCGAGUGGGAUUCUGGCAAGAAGAAUUUGGAAGGGUCCUAACUUUAGCACUUAUCUGUGAGGUCACUACUGUCAAAACUCAAAUCUGCAUCUUGUGGUUGCAAUUCCAAGACUUGUACCAAGCAUUUGCCCCCAUCCAACCCUUUUAGUGUUAUUCAGCAAUUCAAUCCAUGCUUGGUAAAAAUCAAUGUUUAAUUGUGUCAGCAGACUAAGACAAUAAUGAAAAUCUAUUAGAAAUUUUGGCUUGGUCCAUGGCUUCCUCCAAAAUAACUAUAACCAGAAUUGAUGGCAUCUUCAUACAAAAUUUAACUAUAACUUGGAACAGUCAUAGCAGAUUCAAGGCUCAGCAUCCUAUUGUAAUCAUAAAAAUCAAACUUUUGCAACAUGAAUGGGAAAAGAAAACUCUGAUAACAUCAGAGCAAAAUCAUAAGAAACUUAAGAACAAGAAAUGAUGCACAUGGAAAAAGAAAAUUGACAUUACACAACAAGAUCCACAAUUCAGAAUUCAGGUUUCCUUAUUUUCACAAUGUUAAAAUUUUUAUAUCUUAAACUUACUAAACAAGAGAGAAUAAUUCACACUCAUGCAAACGUAUGUAUAUAUGAACAAAGGACUAAGAAUUAAGGGGAAAUUGACCAAAAGAUCAUGCAUAUAAGUAUGCAAAGCUAGGAGAGUAAAAGCAAGUCAAAGAAUUCCUGAUUUUAACCCAAUAAGAAUGCUUCCUUCCCCUUUAAAUUCAAACUUGUUUCACUACAAGCGCUACAAUAUGCUACAUAAGCAUUUUUCAAGCUAUGCAAAAAUGCCUCUUCCACCAAUUACUCAAUGACGGUCCAAAACUUGUACCAUGCAGAAAAAGAGCAGUACAACAGUACCAAUUUUACAGAGCAUGCAAUACCAGAAUGGCAAAACAAAAGAUGUUCAACUCUGUUGUGAUAACAAUGUACAACACUAGUCUGUACAUAUCUAAUUGAUAGGCUAUUGCACUAGUACAUUGAGGAUUAGUAGGUUUGAUUAAGAGAGAAAUUAAAAAGGAAAACCAAAUAUUGAUAAACAGUACU